rnacentral:rRNA from 1 species
GAUGAACGCUGACAGAAUGCUUAACACAUGCAAGUCUUUGGCGAAGCUGUGCUCGCACAGCCUAGCCAAGGCGGACGGGUGAGUAACGCGUAAGGAACUUGCCCUGCAGUCAGGGAUAACAGACGGAAACGACUGAUAAGACCUGGUAAAGUCAGGCGGACUCAUGUCCAGCCUGAUGAAAAGAGAUGCUGCAGGAGAGCCUUGCGUCCUAUUAGCUUGUUGGUGGGGUAACGGCCCACCAAGGCGAUGAUAGGUAGCCGGCCUGAGAGGGUGGACGGCCACAAGGGGACUGAGAUACGGCCCUUACUCCUACGGGAGGCAGCAGUGGGGAAUAUUGGACAAUGGGGGCAACCCUGAUCCAGCAAUUCUGUGUGCACGAUGAAGGUUUUCGGAGUGUAAAGUGCUUUCAGCAGGGAAGAAAAAAAUGACGGUACCUGCAGAAGAAGCGACGGCUAAAUACGUG